rnacentral:tRNA from 1 species
GGAGAUAUAGCUCAGUUGGUAGAGUGCAUGCCUUGCAUGCACAAAGCCCUGGGUUCAAUCCCCAGCACCACCA